rnacentral:tRNA from 1 species
GGGAAGUUGGCUCAGUGGUAGAGUGCUUGCCUCCCAAGCAAGAGGCCCUGGGUUCGAUUCCUCAGUUCCA